rnacentral:rRNA from 1 species
CAGCCGCCACGGUAAUACGUAGGGUGCAAGCGUUAAUCGGAAUUACUGGGCGUAAAGCGUGCGCAGGCGGUUAUAUAAGACAGAUGUGAAAUCCCCGGGCUCAACCUGGGAACUGCAUUUGUGACUGUAUAGCUAGAGUACGGCAGAGGGGGAUGGAAUUCCGCGUGUAGCAGUGAAAUGCGUAGAUAUGCGGAGGAACACCGAUGGCGAAGGCAAUCCCCUGGGCCUGUACUGACGCUCAUGCACGAAAGCGUGGGGAGCAAACAGGAUUAGAUACCCCCGUAGUCCCUGUCUCUUAUAU